CCUACGGGAGGCAGCAGUGAGGAAUAUUGGUCAAUGGACGAGAGUCUGAACCAGCCAAGUCGCGUGAAGGAUGACUGCCCUAUGGGUUGUAAACUUCUUUUAUAUGGGAGUAAAAUGUUCCACGUGUGGGAUUUUGUAUGUACCAUUUCAUUCCGGAUCGGCUAACUCCGUGACAGCAGCCGCGGUAAUACGGAGGAUCCGAGCGUUAUCCGGAUGUAUUGGGUUUUAAGGGAGCGUAGUUGGAUUGGUAAGUCAGUUGUGAAAGUUUGCGGCUCAACCGUAAAAUUGCAGUUGAAACUGGCAGUCUUGAGUACAGUAGAGGUGGGCGGAAUUCGUGGUGUAGCGGUGAAAUGCGUAGAUAUCACGAAGAACUCCGAGUGCGAAGGCAGUUCACUGGACUGCAACUGACACUGAGGCUCGAAAGUGUGGGUAGCAAACAGGAUUAGAUACCCUUGUAGUC
rnacentral:rRNA from 1 species